AGGUGAAUGACUCAGGUUCCUAUUACUGUGCUGAUAAGGAUGUCUAUGAAGCGAUCCAGAAUUGUCCCACACUACUGGUUGGAGACAGUUCCACCAACAAGACGGCUGUGCGGGUGUUUGUUCCGCCUGGACGGUGCGAUCUGGCCUUUUCUGUUGUCGUAGCUGCCCUGGUGAUACUGGUUC